rnacentral:rRNA from 1 species
CAGUCGCCGCGGGAAUACGUAGGGUGCAAGCGUUAAUCGGAAUUACUGGGCGUAAAGCGUGCGCAGGCGGUUAUAUAAGUCAGAUGUGAAAUCCCCGGGCUCAACCUGGGAACUGCAUUUGAGACUGUAUGGCUAGAGUGUGUCAGAGGGGGGUAGAAUUCCACGUGUAGCAGUGAAAUGCGUAGAUAUGUGGAGGAACACCGAUGGCGAAGGCAGCCCCCUGGGCCAAUACUGACGCUCAUGCACGAAAGCGUGGGGAGCAAACAGGAUUAGAUACCCCUGUAGUCCCUGUCUCUUAUAC